CCCGCUGAACUUAAGCAUAUCAAUAAGCGGAGGAAAAGAAACUAACAAGGAUUCCCCUAGUAACUGCGAGUGAAGCGGGAAGAGCUCAAAUUUAAAAUCUGACAGUCUCUGAUUGUUCGAGUUGUAAUCUAGAGAAGCAUUAUCCGCACUGGACUGUGUACAAGUCUUCUGGAAUGGAGCAUCGUAGAGGGUGAGAAUCCCGUCUUUGACACAGACUACCAGAGCUUUGUGAUGUGCUCUCAAAGAGUCGAGUUGUUUGGGAAUGCAGCUCUAAAUGGGUGGUAAAUUCCAUCUAAAGCUAAAUAUUGGCGAGAGACCGAUAGCGAACAAGUACCGUGAGGGAAAGAUGAAAAGAACUUUGGAAAGAGAGUUAAACAGUACGUGAAAUUGUUGAAAGGGAAACGCUUGAAGUCAGUCGUGUUGGUCAGGAAUCAACCUUGCUUUUUUGCUUGGUGCACUUUCUGUUCCAACAGGUCAGCAUCAAUUUUGACCAGUGGAAAAAAGUUGAGUGAAUGUGGCAUCUUUAGAUGUGUUAUAGCACUUGAUUGCAUGCAUUGGUUGAGAUUGAGGUAUUCAGCACGCCGAAAGGCCGGAUCUUUACAUCACGCUCGUGCUUAGGAUGCUGGCAUAAUGGCUUUAAUCGACCCGUCUUGAAACACGG
rnacentral:rRNA from 1 species